AUGAAAGGGAUCAUGGGAGACAUCUGUCUCCACAGACAUUAGUAUGAAAUUAGUAAGUAAGUGAAAAUACUUACAGUACGAAAAUAGACGAGAAGACCCUAGAAGCUUGUUUUUCGUUUUGUUGGGGCGACAGAAUUGCAUUAAAACCAAUUUUAUUAUAUAUGACGCAAGCUGUAAAAUUAAGCUACUCUAGGGAUAACAGCAUAAUAAUGAUUUGUUUGUGACCUCGAUGUUGGACUAGGUAGAAUAGUCUUUAGAAGAGACUAAAAAUGCUCUGUUCGAGCAGUUUAACCUACA
rnacentral:rRNA from 1 species